AAGAUUAGCCCCUACCAGGAGUGGGGUUUGAACCCACGAGGACAUUCAUCCAUUGGAUCUUAAGUCCAACGCCUUAACCACUCGGCCAUCCUGGUUGCACAAAUUUAACAACAACAACAAUUAGUCUAAGGUUCAAUAAACUGUUCAAUUAAAAAAAAAAACAACAACAUAUUUUUCUGACAAUUUUUUACGUUUACAGGGUUAGCCACUCGGCCAUCCUGGUGCUUUGUCCAUUCUGCUCUACCCCAUUCAGAUGAGUGGAAAAGCCUUUAUUUAUAUGUAAGGCUGCUGAGUUCAUUCUCUCCACUGGCAGAAAAGGCUCUUUUGGUUGAAACACUAAUUGGCAUGUGCAACUGUGGUUUUAUGAAUGGGAGUUCUGGAUUCUCCUCAUGGGAUUUCAUAAAUCUACUCCCAUGUAGAUGUAUUGAUCGCUGUGUGUUAGUCUGUCUCUAUUCCUCUGUCACUCUCCUCUUGCUCACAUCCCUGCCUGGCAGCAUAAAUGAUGUCCACGGCCUGCGUCUCUCUCCCGCCGUGUUACCAUAGCAACUGGAGCGAUAGGGGAACACUGUGUUCCUUCGAUCUGCAAGUGGGUCAUGGACAAAACGACACGUACCAAACCAUAUUGAGUGGCUGGUGCUCCACACGGCUUUGCUGUUGACCUAUAUCACACGUCCAAACAGGAAUCCCCAUCGGCUGCUAGGCUGAGAUGUCGGGUUUAGCUCUCAGAUGCAAGCGCACAGCAUGACAGCAAUUCGGAUGACAGUAUGCAGCGGGUUUAAGAAGGACACACCCCAUGAGAGCUACUAUUUCAUUAUGAUCUCAGUGUGGUCAGUCUGGUACGGACUAAACUACUACAUCAUACUUGGAUGCUGUCUUCAUGUUUUACAACUUAGAAGUUCAACAAAGUAAUGGACACCAUCCCAAUUCAAGGAAAACAGUGUCUUUGUUGCUCUGCAAGGCGUUUCAUGCUGUGGCCUGGCACUGGUUUCCCCAUAAUCUGUAGUCAAGGACAAAAUGAGAAACCCAUCUCUGCGCCCAGAGGCCAGUGCCAUACAGGAAACACAUCAGCAGCACGCCACAGUGGGUUCCUGGCACAAUGAUGUCUGUCAUCCACUGCAGUGUUUGAAUGAGACUGGAAGACUGUGACAUACAAUCUGAGCGCUAUGAAGACAAGGUUGUGCAAAAUUCUGAAUAUAAGAAUUUGCUUUCAGGCAAUGAGUGUGAAGUUAAAUUGAACUGGCCACAGAAGGAGGAAUUAAUUAAAUUGCAAUUCAAAGAAAUUCAAGUUAAUGCGUUCUGGGAAAUUAAGUAUUCUUCUUCCUCCCUGGUCCACAAAAGUAUAUAUUUAUGUAUUAUAUUUUGAUUAUAUUUGUAUAUAUUUAUUAUAUAUUUUCAUCAAUAUUAUAUACAACCUGAAUUCCGGAAAUGUUGGGAUGUUUUUUAAAUUUGAAAAAAAAAAAAAGAAAACUAAAAGACUUUCAAAUCACAUGAGCCAAUAUUUUAUUCACAAUAGAACAUAAAUAAUAUAACAAAUGUUUAAACUGAGAAAUUUUACAAUUUUAUGCACAAAAUGAGCUCAUUUCAAAUUUGAUGCCUGCUACAGGUCUCAAAAUAGUUGGGACGGGGGCAUGUUUACCAUGGUGUAGCAUCUCCUCUUCUUUUCAAAACAGUUUGAAGACAUCUGGGCAUCGAGGUUAUGAGUUUCUGGAGUUUUGGUGUUGGAAUUUGGUCCCAUUCUUGCCUGAUAUAGGUUUCCAGCUACUGAAGAGUUUGUGGUCGUCUUUGUGACGUAUUUUUCGUUUAAUGAUGCGCCAAAUGUUCUCUAUAGGUGCAGGCAGGCCAAUUCAGCACCUGGACUCUUCUGCGAUGAAGCCAUGCUGUUGUAGUAGCUGCAGUAUGUGGUUUCGCAUUGUCCUGCUGAAAUACACAAGGCCUUUCCUGAAAUAGACGUCAUCUGGAGGGGAGCACAUGUUGCUCUAAAACCUUUAUAUACCUUUCAGCAUUCAUAGUGCUUUUCAAAACAUGCAAGCUGCCUAUACCAUAUGCACUGAUGCACCCCCAUACCAUCAGAGAUGCUGGCUUUUGAACUGAACGCUGAUGACACGCUGGAAGGUCUCCCUCCUCUUUAGCCCGGAGGACAUGGUGUCCAUGAUUUCCAACAAGAAUGUCAAAUUUGGACUCGUCUGACCAUAGAACACUUUUCCAUUUUAAAUGAGCCUGGGUCCACAGGACACGACAGCGCUUCUGGACCAUGUUCACAUAUGGCUUCCUUUUUGCAUGACAGAGCUUUAGUUGGCAUCUGCAGAUGGCACGGCGGAUUGUGUUUACCGACAGUGGUUUCUGGAAGUAUUCCUGGGCCCAUUUAGUAAUGUCAUUGACACAAUCAUGCCGAUGAGUGAUGCAGUGUCGUCUGAGGGCCCGAAGACCACAGGAAUCCAAAUAAAGGUCUUCAGCCUUGUCCCUUACGCACAGAGAUUUCUCCAGUUUCUCUGAAUUUUUCGAUGAUGUUAUGCAUUGUAGAUGAUGAGAUUUGCAAAGCCUUUGCAAUUUGACGUUGAGGAACAUUGUUUUUAAAGUAUUCCACAAUCUUUUUACGCACUCUUUCACAGCUCUGCCCAUUUUUACUUCUGAGAGACUCUGCCUCUCUAAGACAUCCCUUUCAUAGCUAAUCAUGUUACAGACCUGAUGUCAAUUAACUUAAUUAGUUGCUAGAUGUUCU